CAUUCACCAUUGUUGUUCUUUCUUUUGACAGGUCCUUUGCUACCCUUUGAGCACAGCCCAGACCUUUGAGAAUACCAAGAUGAAGACAAAGAAUAAUUCCAAUGAGUAUUUCAGAGAUUUUGCUGUCAGAUGCUUUUCUGCUUUCACACAGGCUCAAUCCUGACAUGACUGUUGACUUCAGUGAAGUAACCAGUGUUCAAAGCAUCAAUACAAAAAACGAGUUGAUAAUCCUUGUAAAGAGCCAUGUCCUUCCUGCUGCUGAGUGUGCACCUACGCUGAGAGCCAGCUCACCUCACAGUGUGGUGAAGGAUGUCUGUGGGAUUAGGACUGCAGAACAGGCAAUCCAGAACUGUUAAACACAGCUUGGGAGGCAUGUUAGCUGGAGUUGACUGAACAGAUUUUACUAGGUGAUGAAGAUGUCUUCCUCUAGACUCACCUUGGUUGCAUCCCCUCUUUGAUGAAUCUUUUCCUUAUGUCACUUUAGGAGCAGCACUAUGG
rnacentral:lncRNA from 1 species